rnacentral:lncRNA from 1 species
GUUGAUCUACCCCAUGAAGCAGCCCAGGAACUGCGAAGAUGUUUAAAUCACAAGAUUCCCAACCCUGUCAUAAAAAAUUAUAAUGCAAGUUCUAGAGUCAGAAGAAACUCUUUGAGUCUCUUUUGCUCAUUCAAGGUGAUUACACACUGGAGGCUAAUCUGGGUCCCAGUGAGACCCUGUCACAAGAAUAUAAAAAACAUCACUGCAAAAUUAUCAGAUGAAGGUGUAAUGGCAUGGUUGGAAAGACGGGUCAGUGAUUAAGCACACUGGUUGUUCUUCAAAGGACCAAGGUUUGAUUUCCAGCAUCUACAUGGAGGCUCACAACCAUCUUAACUCUAAUCCCAGGGGAUCUGAUGCCCAACACGGACCCCCUUAAUAUCACUGAAAUCAAAGAUUGGACCCUCCUGAUAGGACUUAAUAUUUGUGCAGCACUCCAAACAAGCUACCCUCAACAACAAAAAGUAUAUAGCUAGAUCUUAUCGGCUCUUUAAAUCUAAUUAUCAGUUCCCAGGAAAUAAUGGGAUGGAUAAAUAAAGGAGCAAGUUACAGGAAGAUUUAGCGGGAAACAUCUUCAGGAUGGAUAACCAGCUUCCUCAACAAAUAUAUCACCUGAGAAAAUACAAGAGCAGAGAAACUGUUUCAUACUCAAGGGGACCUACGGGUACAUGCAGAAAAUGCAGUGUGCCUGGACAUGGGAGCACUUGCCUUUAAUCCCAACACUAGGAAGGCAGAUCUCUGUGGGUUUCUGGCCAACUCUCUGUCUUAGUCAGGGUCUCUAGUCCUGCACAGACAUGACCGAGAAGCAAGCUGGGAAGGAAAGGGUUUAUUCAGCUUACACUUCCACACUGCUGUUCAUCACCAAGGAAGUCAGGACUGGAACUCAAGCAGGUCAGGAAGCAGGAGCUGAUGCAGAGGCCAUGGAGGGAUGUUUCUUACUGGCUUGCUCAGCUUGCUCUCUUAUAGAACUCAAGACUACCAGCCCAGGGAUGGCACCACCCACAAUGGAUCCUCCCACCCUUGAUCACUAACUGAGAAAAUGCCUUACAGCUGGAUCUCAUGGAGGCCUUUCCUCAAGGGAGGCUCCAUUCUCUGUGAUAACUCCAGCUUGUGUCAAGUUGACACACAAAACCAGCCAGUACACCCCCUCUCUCAGAGAGAGAGAGAGAGAGAAGACAGAGAGAAAAGGAAGACAGAGAGAAAGAAGAGAGAGAAAGGAGAGAGAGAGAGAAUUCUGACUUCUUUUGGAUCCCUAUAAGCAAACCAACCGUAAAGAAAGCUGAACAGUAACUCAUAGUUAAAUAAUAUAUAGUUAAUUUUCUUAACUAUAUUUUGUUUUGGUUUGGUCUUUUUUGAGAUUAGGGUCUCUCUAUGUUGUGGCCCAGGCUGUCCAAGAAUUCACUACGUAGAUCAAGCUGAGCUUGAAUUCAGAGAUCCACCUGCCUCUGCCUCCCAAGUGCUGAAAUUAAUGGUGUAUGCCACCACUGCCAGCCCUUCAACUUGACCGUACACUUUCAGUAUUAGAUGUAUUUUCUGCAUUUACCUGCCAUGGUUAACUUCAUUAUAGCUGACACUUGUCUUAGCAUUUAAAAUACGCACCCAGUUCUCUAAUCCCAUGCUUCUCUUCCACAGCCCCUUGAAGGUCCCUGAAUUCUUAUCUAUACAAAUCAUAUCCUCUUGAAGACCAUUCCAAAAUUCUGAACGUUUCAUUUUUAUGGUUGACUGUGGCUCAUCUAUGACAUUUGUAGCAUACUACCUUAUACUGAUUUGUUGCUGUUGUUACUUAGUUUCGUUCAUGCAACAGGUUGCAUUAUCAAUCCUGACACACUUAUUGAAUACGUCUAUAUUUUGGGCCUGUGUUUCUAAUAAGUGUGCUACAAUGAAUAGACAGUCUCGGAAUUUGUUGACGGUUACAAUUUAGUAAGGAAAAAUCAGAAUUACGCCAACCACAAUUGCAAGUAUUUUAAGAGGGUUUCUUUUGCAAUGGAGUUGUAUCAUUGCAGCUUCUAGGAGAAUGAAGUCCAAAAAUACGGUAAUGUUAGCGCCAGACAUCAUCGUAGGCUUAGUUUCCCCUCCGCUUACUUGACCACCGUAGCGCCUGAAAGAGCCUCUGGCCCUACACUUCAGACAAGACCCAGAAGGCUUUGCAGCGCCGCGGAGAACUCUGGGAUACAGGUGGAUAAACAAAGCAAAGAAAAAAGGCCAUGACCCAGGCCCGAAAAUCUGCCAUUAAUUUAAUGGAUGUCUUUUUCGACUCUUUUGGGGUGCUUACCUUUCCUGAAUGCCCCAUCACCGGAGGCCUCACUUACGUCCGCAAAAGCCGGGAACAGCGCCAUGAUCACAGGCCGCACUACCACUCCUGCCUCAGAAAUGGCGCCGUCUGGAGAGCUCUGGUUGGAGGACGGUGACUCGCGAGGCACUCUGGGAAAUGUAGUUCUUCCUGCACUCUUUAAGGCUUAACUCCUGGGCAAGGCGGUGCGGAGACCCAAAGGGUAGAGAGGGGAGGAGGGAAGAGGGUGAGAUUGAGGAAGAACAGUUUCCUUGUAGUUAGUGCCCUCCGGCUUCACUGAACAAUGGACAAGCAGGAACCGGAAGAGGAAGUUGGGAGGGGGGAAGGUGUGGAAACUGGAAUUCAGCUCCUCUGGUAAAAGCACAUUGCCUCCUUUAAACUGGAUCAAAGUAAUCAAAUUCUGUAAGAUUCAUUUUCCUCCUCUGCAAGAUUGUGUGUGUGAGUGUAUGUAUACGUACACAUAUACAUGUACAAAUUGCAAUUGUUUCACCCAUAAGAAGCAUUUAAAAGGUGGCUUUAAACUGGGUGUGGGGGCAAACCCCUUUUAAGUCCCAACACUCAGUGGUAGAGGCAAGUGGAUCUCUGUGAGUUCGACACCAGCUGGUCUACAUAGUAAUUUCCAUGAGAGUCAGAACUGUAUAGAGACGAUGUCUCAAAAAAAGCCAAUAAAAAGAAAGAAAAGAAAUGAAAAAUUAGCUUCUAUGUGAGAUGUGACAAGUUCCACGGCAAAAUGUAAGUGAUCCAAAUAUAAGUUGUCAUUUUAAAUACCCUAGGAAUACAGAAGAGUACAAAGUCCCAAUAAGAUAAAGGUCUUUGACAAUAAAUGCAUAUACUUACCUAUAAAGUAUUUUUGAGAUUCCCCUACC